AUUGAACGCUGGCGGCAUGCCUUACACAUGCAAGUCGAACGGCAGCACGGGAGCAAUCCUGGUGGCGAGUGGAGAACGGGUGAGUAAAGUAUCGGAACGUGCCCAGUCGUGGGGGAUAACGUAGCGAAUGUUACGCUAAUACCGCAUACGAUCUAUGGAUGAAAGCGGGGGAUCGCAAGACCUCGCGCGAUUGGAGCGGCCGAUAGCAGCUGAGGUAGUUGGGAGGGUAAAGGCUCACCAAGCCGACGAUCUGUAGCUGGUCUGAGAGGACGACCAGCCACACUGGAACGGAGACACGGCCCAGACUCCUACGGGAGGAAACAGUGAGGAAUUUGGGACAAUGGGCGAAAGACUGAUCCAGCCAUGCCGCGUGCAGGAUGGAGGCCUUCGGGUUGUAAUCUGCUUUUGUACGGAACGAAAAGGUUUGACUUAAGACGUUGGACUCAUGACGGUACCGUAAGAAUAAGCACCGGCUAACUACGUGCCAGCAGCCGCAGUAA
rnacentral:rRNA from 1 species